CAGAGAUUGUCCAGACCUCGGAAAACUGAAACGUGCAAGUGCCAAUCUCCCAAGUCUCUUAAGUGCCUGGAAUUCCAAUCUGCUCCCGAAUUGUCCAGGCCCGGGAUGUGUUCCGCCUGUACCGAGACAUUGUUGAGGAGACAAAAUUGCCAGAAAUCCUUCGCCAAUAGCGCCAACAUUCUGGACUUGGUACCCCCAAGAUGAUUU